rnacentral:rRNA from 1 species
GAUGAACGCUGGCGGCGUGCUUAACACAUGCAAGUCGAACGAGAAGAGGAGACGGAAACCUUCGGGCGGAAGACUUUACUUCGAGUGGCGGACGGGUGAGUAACGCGUGGGUAACCUGCCUCAUACAGGGGGAUAACAGUUGGAAACGACUGUUAAUACCGCAUAAGACCACAGCACCGCAUGGUGCGGGGGUAAAAACUCCGGUGGUAUGAGAUGGACCCGCGUUCGAUUAGCCAGUUGGCGGGGUAACGGCCCACCAAAGCGACGAUCGAUAGCCGAUCUGAGAGGAUGACCGGCCACAUUGGGACUGAGACACGGCCCAAACUCCUACGGGAGGCAGCAGUGGGGAAUAUUGCACAAUGGGGGAAACCCUGAUGCAGCGACGCCGCGUGAGUGAAGAAGUAUUUCGGUAUGUAAAGCUCUAUCAGCAGGGAAGAAAAUGACAGUACCUGAGUAAGAAGCCCCGGCUAACUACGUG